rnacentral:rRNA from 1 species
UACGGGGGGGGCAAGCGUUGUUCGGAAUUACUGGGCGUAAAGGGCUUGUAGGUGGCCAACUAAGUCAGACGUGAAAUCCCUCGGCUUAACCGGGGAACUGCGUCUGAUACUGGAUGGCUUGAAUCCGGGAGAGGGAUGCGGAAUUCCAGGUGUAGCGGUGAAAUGCGUAGAUAUCGGAAGGAACACCGGUGGCGAAAGCGGCGUGCUGGAUCCCUUCUGACGCUGAGGCGCGAAAGCCAGGGGAGCGAACGGG